rnacentral:tRNA from 1 species
GCUCUGUUGGUAGAGCAUGGUGUUUGCAACGCCAGGGUUGUGGGUUUGUUUCCCAC